rnacentral:lncRNA from 1 species
AUCUUGGAACAACCUUGGCUACGAAUGUUCUAAAGCGUGUUGUCUUCAUUUUUUAAAAGGGCUUCACUCUGAGGAGAAUCUUUCACUUCCCUGGUCGGCAGGAUGGGCUUUGAAACAGUUGGGAAACCAAGAGAAGUUCACUGUCAGAAGUCUUACCUGUACACCGUUGUCUCAGUUCCUCUUCAUCGUAGUCAAUAAGUAGUUUCCUACUGUAAUGUACCCAAAGAAAGGCUAAUCAAU